rnacentral:lncRNA from 1 species
AGGUUAGAUCUUGGGACAGCCCACAUACCUAGACAAACUUAGGCUUUCCAGCUUGCACUGGACCAGGGUGGAAAGGAAGGGUAGAUGUCUACCCAAAUGGAAUAUUGAGUAUCAGAGACUUCAAAUGAUAACUUUUGUUUGUUUGGAGAAAAUCUUGAGGACGUGAUCACUGUACAAAAGCAUGGCAAAAUGAGGAAACCACUGACAGGUGAAGAAUUUGCACAAUGGAAAACCACCUUGACCAUCUCAUGACUUUAUACAGGAAUCGGAGACAUCCAAGGCCAUUCCAUUUCUAAAUCACACUUAUCCCUCAAUCAAGUCAGUGACUGGAUCAUCUCCUAAGGUUUCACCUGCUUUGCAUCAGUGAGUUGGACUAUGGAUCAGGUACUGUGCUCAGCAUCAGAAAAUGGGAUGACAAUGAACAGAGUAACAGGACUAUAUUUCUGAAAAAGGAUGAACUUACUGGAAACAGGAUUGCGUGCCUGAAAUAUAUCCAAAUGGAUAUAAAUGUCAACUCAGUUCUGGGCUGGAGAUAUAGAUUUGGAAUGCACCAACAAUGCAGAUGGUAAUCCUGGCAUGCGAGUAGGUGAGAUCAUCCAGGGAGAUGGCCUAUAAUGAGAGCCUACAACAUGUCAGGGCUCAAGCACCUCUUACUGCCUCCUCACUCUGGAACCAAAUGCCUUACUGUCUGCACUGCUCCCCAUUGCCUUCCCUCCCGCCUCACCAGUUGAUCCCUAUACCUCCUUCCCAAUGACCUCCAGGAGGCCUCUAACUUACAGUGACAGGAUCACAGAAUGUGAAUUUUGAACAGAUCUGAAAAGUUAUUAAGUUCAACUCCACAGAGGUUCCUAGGAGAAUGUUAACAGUCCAGACCUUUUUCACUACAUCAACCACGGAUGAUUGGCAUAUAAAAUCCUACUUAACCUUUACAUAACUGCAAUACCAGGAAACAAAUAUGUCAAUAAAAGGAAACAUCAUUCA